GAUGAUGAAAUUCUAAAUUUAUUAUAAAUUAUGUCUUUGGACUUCAUUCUGACCCUACUCUUCACCAAUCAGAAAAAGAAAAGCCGUUUCCUUGCUCCGCCGGUUCCGGUGAGAACCCAUUGAAAUUAACCGCCAAUUUCUCAUAAACUAACCACGAAUCGCAUAUAAGUUGCAGGGUUAAAGCAUAUUUCUUUUAUCCAAAGACUUUAUAAGCAUGAAGAAUAGCCUCGGACUCGAAUCCUAGAAAUAUCGCUGUCGAUGACACCGGGAAUUUUCUCUGACCUUGUUUGGGAUGAGGUCUUGUGCAUUAGGUACUCUACAACCUUUUUCUUAAUCAAGACAUAUAAACUGCAGAUAAUGCAUGUAUGAAUGAUACAAGGAGUACAUGAGAAUGUAUAUGUAUAUGUAUAUAUGUAUAUGUAUAUUUUUUUUGCAAAAUUACUAUUCCUAAUACUUGUAUGGUUAGGUACAACUAAUACAUUUUACAUUUAUAUAUUUUAAUGAAUUCAUUAUAUAAAAUUCACAUUGA